CACUCUUUAGUACGACACGCACUGCACUGUUUCUGUACCAAACAGCUUCUGAAUCUUUUCAGACUGAAUUUCCCCGUGGACAACGAGCAGUACUGUGUCAGGUCAUGUGAGCCGAAACCUAAGGAACCCACUGCAGAGAGAAAGGCCUCUCGUGUAGCCAGAUCAGAGCUUCGCUUUCAGGCAUCCUGCCAGGACAGCUGCACCCGUUUGGAAGACUUGCAACCGCAGCCAUGAGCGCCUCAGAGGAGCGACUGAUGCAUGGAUAUCCCCACCUAACCUGAGAGAAGAAGCAGGAAGAGGCACAGACGGGCACAGAGAGGAGACCACUCCUUUAUAUAAGAGAAGCUGCCUUAUGGUCAACAGGACGGAUCUCGGCCCAGAACAGAGCUCGUCAGCUUUUGUUGUGGAUCUGGAUGAAGGGAUCAGGGAAGAUCAUUUCUCAGGGAACAAUUCAUGGAUCCUGAUCACAUCUGGCGUAUGUAGGUGGCUGGUGUCUAUGAGUGAGAACAACUGGAUCUGGAUGUAACAUAUUUAAACUUGGUUUAUUUGAUAUUGGAUGAGGCUCGAUUGAACUGAAGGGGACUGUUGGCCCGCGGCGGAGUCUGCACUCUACUGAACGCCAUUUAACUUGUAUUUUUCUCCACCUGUUGGCUCGUAUAGCUCUGUUUCAGUCUCCACCCACUGCUGAGGUAAACAUUUAGAUCUUUAGCUUGCUAGCUUCAACUUUUUUAAACCGUGUGUGUCUGCAGUCCGGAGCCGGCCAGGCAACGUACAGCCGGUUUGUUAACGCUCUCUGGGAACAACGAUCAGGUUGGCUCAGACUUUCAGGGGCACUAUGUAACCUCAGAAUGAUAUUUACAACAUUAAUUAAGUAAUUUUACAAGCUCAGGACAUUUAUUUGAUGAAUGCAUAUCCAUAAUGAGAGUUUGAAUAUUAGUUUGCUCAGACGGCUCCUGUCGAGAUAAACAACCUAAAACACUGUUCUUGUUUUCUUUUCCGAUUCAAAAUUCUUCCCCGACUUUACUUUGUGCACUUUUAACUAAACUCAAAGAGGCUAACAGCGCCGGUGAAGCUGCUGAGUGAUACAACAAUUCUUUGCUAUUCUUCU
rnacentral:lncRNA from 1 species